UUCUAAACCUGAUUGACGUGGUAGCUCCCGACUUCACGUCGGGGCUACAAACCAAAAGCAGGGCUAAAU
rnacentral:sRNA from 1 species